UCUUCGGAGGUAGCGGCGGACGGGUGAGUAACACGUGGGCAACCUGCCUGUAAGACUGGGAUAACUCCGGGAAACCGGAGCUAAUACCGGAUAGUAUCUUGAACCGCAUGGUUCAAGUUGGAAAGACGGUUUCGGCUGUCACUUACAGAUGGGCCCGCGGCGCAUUAGCUAGUUGGUGAGGUAAUGGCUCACCAAGGCAACGAUGCGUAGCCGACCUGAGAGGGUGAUCGGCCACACUGGGACUGAGACACGGCCCAGACUCCUACGGGAGGCAGCAGUAGGGAAUCUUCCGCAAUGGACGAAAGUCUGACGGAGCAACGCCGCGUGAGUGAUGAAGGUUUUCGGAUCGUAAAACUCUGUUGUUAGGGAAGAACAAGUGCGAGAGUAACUGCUCGCACCUUGACGGUACCUAACCAGAAAGCCACGGCUAACUACGUGCCAGCAGCCGCGGUAAUACGUAGGUGGCAAGCGUUGUCCGGAAUUAUUGGGCGUAAAGCGCGCGCAGGCGGUUUCUUAAGUCUGAUGUGAAAGCCCCCGGCUCAACCGGGGAGGGUCAUUGGAAACUGGGAAACUUGAGUGCAGAAGAGGAGAGUGGAAUUCCACGUGUAGCGGUGAAAUGCGUAGAGAUGUGGAGGAACACCAGUGGCGAAGGCGACUCUCUGGUCUGUAACUGACGCUGAGGCGCGAAAGCGUGGGGAGCGAACAGGAUUAGAUACCCUGGUAGUCCACGCCGUAAACGAUGAGUGCUAAGUGUUAGAGGGUUUCCGCCCUUUAGUGCUGCAGCUAACGCAUUAAGCACUCCGCCUGGGGAGUACGGUCGCAAGACUGAAACUCAAAGGAAUUGACGGGGGCCCGCACAAGCGGUGGAGCAUGUGGUUUAAUUCGAAGCAACGCGAAGAACCUUACCAGGUCUUGACAUCCUUUGCCACUUCUAGAGAUAGAAGGUUCCCCUUCGGGGGACAAAGUGACAGGUGGUGCAUGGUUGUCGUCAGCUCGUGUCGUGAGAUGUUGGGUUAAGUCCCGCAACGAGCGCAACCNUUGAUCUUAGUUGCCAGCAUUCAGUUGGGCACUCU
rnacentral:rRNA from 2 species